GACGAACGCUGGCGGCGUGCUUAACACAUGCAAGUCGAACGCUGAAGCUCAGCUUUUGUUGGGUGGAUGAGUGGCGAACGGGUGAGUAACACGUGAGUAACCUGCCCCCUUCUUUGGGAUAACGCCCGGAAACGGGUGCUAAUACUGGAUAUUCACUGGUCUUCGCAUGGGGGUUGGUGGAAAGGGUUUUUCUGGUGGGGGAUGGGCUCGCGGCCUAUCAGCUUGUUGGUGGGGUGAUGGCCUACCAGGGCUUUGACGGGUAGCCGGCCUGAGAGGGUGACCGGUCACAUUGGGACUGAGAUACGGCCCAGACUCCUACGGGAGGCAGCAGUGGGGAAUAAUGCACAAUGGGCGCAAGCCUGAUGCAGCGACGCCGCGUGAGGGAUGGAGGCCUUCGGGUUGUGAACCUCUUUCGCUCAUGGUCAAGCCGCAACAAUGGUUGUGGUGAGGGUAGUGGGUAAAGAAGCGCCGGCUAACUACGUG
rnacentral:rRNA from 1 species